AGAAGGAGAUCGCUCGUCUAGCGAUAAAAACGCCUUUCACGUUGUGUAUAUUCAUAUCAGCGGACGCUUUUUCGUGGAUCUCAAUACUGGACGGAAUCGCUGGCUUCAUCAAGGACUCCGCAGAGCUAAACAAUGGCGAGCCUCCUGAAACCCGGAAGAUCGAUGAGGAAUACGACUUUAUAAUCAUUGGAGCGGGCACCGCGGGCUGCGUGCUCAGCCAUAGAUUGACGGAAAUUGAAAAUUUUAAG
rnacentral:misc_RNA from 1 species